rnacentral:rRNA from 1 species
AGAGUUUGAUCCUGGCUCAGAUUGAACGCUGGCGGCAUGCUUUACACAUGCAAGUCGAACGGCAGCACGGGUGCUUGCACCUGGUGGCGAGUGGCGAACGGGUGAGUAAUGCGUCGGAACGUACCGAGUAAUGGGGGAUAACGCGGCGAAAGUCGCGCUAAUACCGCAUACGCCCUGAGGGGGAAAGCAGGGGAUCGCAAGACCUUGCGUUAUUCGAGCGGCCGACGUCUGAUUAGCUUGUUGGUGAGGUAAAGGCUCACCAAGGCGACGAUCAGUAGCGGGUCUGAGAGGAGGAUCCGCCACACUGGGACUGAGACACGGCCCAGACUCCUACGGGAGGCAGCAGUGGGGAAUUUUGGACAAUGGGGGCAACCCUGAUCCAGCCAUGCCGCGUGAGUGAAGAAGGCCUUCGGGUUGUAAAGCUCUUUCAGCUGGAGCGAAACGGUACGCUCUAACAUAGCGUGCUACUGACGGUACCAGCAGAAGAAGCACCGGCUAACUACGUGCCAGCAGCCGCGGUAAUACGUAGGGUGCGAGCGUUAAUCGGAAUUACUGGGCGUAAAGCGUGCGCAGGCGGAUUGUUAAGCAAGACGUGAAAUCCCCGGGCUUAACCUGGGAAUGGCGUUUUGAACUGGCAGUCUAGAGUGCGUCAGAGGGGGGUGGAAUUCCACGUGUAGCAGUGAAAUGCGUAGAGAUGUGGAGGAACACCGAUGGCGAAGGCAGCCCCCUGGGAUGACACUGUCGCUCAUGUACGAAAGCGUGGGUAGCAAACAGGAUUAGAUACCCUGGUAGUCCACGCCCUAAACGAUGUCAACUAGUUGUUGGGGGAGUGAAAUCCCUUAGUAACGAAGCUAACGCGUGAAGUUGACCGCCUGGGGAGUACGGUCGCAAGAUU